rnacentral:misc_RNA from 1 species
AACGCACAUUGCGCCCGCCGGUACUCCGGCGGGCAUGCCUGUCCGAGCGUCAUUUCACCACUCAAGCACAGCUUGGUGUUGGGGCACCCGGCCGCCUGGCGGUCGGGGCCCCCAAGUACAUCGGCGGUCCCGCUGGGGGCUCCGAGCGCAGUAGCACGCGGUAAAACGCGCCCUCGCUCGGCGGCCUCUUCGGGCUUCCAGCCGCUAAACCCGUCCACCGACGCCCUUCGAGUUGACCUCGGAUCAGGUAGGAAUACCCGCUGAACUUAA